CCAUAGCCCAGGCUGCAGGCUGAGAACAUGUGGUCACCUUGGCGUGGUGUUUCUGCCAGUGCCUCCCUAUCUUCCUGCCACAGUGUUCCUCGGACUCAGCAGGUCGAAGACCUCCACAGAGGGCCACCGGAGUCCAGAAGGAGACCAGAACCUGGGGUUGACUAACUUCCUCUUCUCAGCUAUGCCAGAGGUUAAUUAGUGCUGAUGUGAGACGGCCCACUCCUCACAUGCACACAACCCUUAUGGACAAUGAAGCCCAACCAACACUGACUCAGGUCUACGCCACUGGAGGGAGAAAUUUAUACAGCACAGAAAGUGGGAUUUCUACCUGCAAAUUAUUUACAGCAUUAUUCACAGCAGCCAAGACAUGAAGACAACCUAACGUGUCCUCUGAUGAAGGAUUGGGUAGGAAAACGUGGUACGUAUAUACUACUGCUCAGCCAUAAGGAAGGAUGAAAUCCCGCCAUUUGUGAUGACACAGAUGGAUCUGGAGAGUAUCAUGCUAAAUGAAACAAGCCAGACAGAAAAGUACAAGAGCCAUAAGAUUUCACUCAAAUGUGGGAUAUAACACAGAAAGCAACAAGUGAACAAACUCACAGAGGGCUGGGAAGGGAUCAACAGGGUGAAGCGGGCCCAUGCACGGCGAUGGGAAAAGACUAGACUUUGGGUAGUGGGCACACAGUGCAAUACACAGAUGAUGUAUCA